rnacentral:rRNA from 1 species
GACGAACGCUGGCGGCGUGCCUAAUACAUGCAAGUAGAACGCAGUUGCGAACGGGUGAGUAACGCGUAGGUAACUGCCUCUUAGCGGGGGAUAACUAUUGGAAACGAUAGCUAAUACCGCAUACUGUGAGAUGGACCUGCGUUGUAUUAGCUAGUUGGUGAGGUAAAGGCUCACCAAGGCGACGUUACAUAGCCGACCUGAUAGGGUGAUUGGCAGACCUGUAACUGGACAACGGCCCCGACUCCUACGGAUGGCAUCAGUGGUGAUUCUUGGGAAAUGGACGGAAGUCUGACCAGUCAACGCGACGUAAGUGACGACGGUUUUCGUAACGUAAAGCCCUUUUGUAGAGAAGCGGUAACUAACCAGAAAGGGACGGCUAACUACGUGCCAGCAGCCGCGGUAAUAC